CGCAAGCUAUCCUGUAAAAUGCUAUGAUAAUGCAUUAUUAAAUAAACAAAGUAUUCUUAUUGAAAAUAAGAAUAAAUCAGGAAUUUAUCGUUGAGUUAACAAAUUAAACAAUAAAACUUAUGUGGGUAGUGGUCUUAAUUUAUUUAAAAGACUAGGGGAUUAUUAUAAUAAAAGUGAAUUAAUAAGAAAUCCUAGACCAAUUCAUGCUGCAUUACUAAAGUAUGGGUACGAGAAUUUUCAAUUAGAAAUUUUAGAAUAUUGUAGAGCAGAUGAGCUUGUUGUUAGAGAGCAGUUUUAUUUAGAUUUAUUGGAUCCGGAAUAUAAUAUAUUAAAACAUGCAUACUCAUUAUUAGGGUUUAAGCAUAGUGAGGAAAAUUUAGCUAAAUUUAAAUUAAAAAAAAUUUCCUUAGAACAUAAAAACAUAUUGUCUUUAGUGCAUUCAAAUAAAGAAGUUAGUGAGGAAACUAGAGAUAAAUUAUCUAAAGCUACUCUUAACUUUAAAAAAAAUAACCCUCUUACUCCUGAAGCUUUAGCUAAUAUUACAGCUAAAACUACAGAACGUGAAGGGGUUCCUGUUUUAGUUUUAAAUACUCAAACAAAUGAAGUAAUUGAAUUUCCUACUUUAACAAAAGCAGGUGAGUAUUUAGAAGUUAAAAGACAAGCUAUACGAAACGCAAUAAAAAGAGAGAGCCUUGUAAAAGGUCUUUAUCGUGUUUCAGAAAAAAAUUAGUAGGCAGCAUACACAUAGUGUUUCAUAAAAAAAAAGAAUAAAAUUACUUUAAUUUCGGUAAUAGCAAAUUAUUGAAGGCAGAUUAAAAAUCUGUUGUCUAAAUGGAUAGUUUAAAACUAUUUAGGGAGAAAAUUUAUGUUUAGGCACAAUAAGCAUAAAUCGCGUGUAUGUCAAAAGGGAAACAGCCCAGAACAAGAGUUAAGGUUCCAAAAUUAUUAUUAAGUGAAAUUAAGAAGGUUUUUAUUUAAGUCGACAAGGAGAUAGGCUUGGAGGCAGCCAUAAUUUAAAGACCUCGUAACAGAGCGCUUGUUAAGUUUUAAAAUGCAUCGAAAAUAUAACGGAUCUAAAUAAUAUACCGAUACCUUGUCCAUAAAUUAAGAUAAUUUAUUAUGUUAUUUAUGGGGUAGCAGAACGUUGGGUUUAUAUGAGAUUUUUCUUAUUUUUAAGAAAAUUAUAAUAUAACUCAAGUGAUAAUGGUGACAUGAGUAACUAAAAAGAGUUUAUACUCUCGCCUUAAGCUUAUGGCUAAGUAAAGUAACGGCCUCUAAGUUUUUAACCUGAAGGUUAAAAUGAUGAGAAAAUCUUUUUCUUUUAUUAAAAGACAACAUUUUUAAGUGAAAAGUGUGCAGGAAAUAUUUUAAUAAGAAAACAUGAGUGUGGACUAAAUAAACUGAAAUAGAUGAAUAAAACACAAGUGUUUUAACCGUACCUAGAAACUGCAACAAGUAAGCUAGUAGAGGAUACGAAGGCGUAAAUGAGAUAACAAUCAUAAAGGAACUCGGCAAAAUAACUACCGUAACUUAGGGAUAAGGAGGGCUCAUUAUUCUUGAUUAAUAUCAAGUAAAAAGGAAGAAGCAUGAAAUAGUGUUGUACGACUGUUUAAUUAAAACAAAGCACUUUGCAAAAAGAUGAUAAAUCUAAGUAUUGAGUGUGAAAUCUGCCCGAUGUCGGCUGGUUAACGAAGAUAACUAAAUUUUUAAAGGUUUGGUGUUGCAGGAAACCCCGAUUAAUGGCGGCCUUAACGUGAGGGUCCUAAGGUAGCGAAAUGCCUUGGCCGUUAAAUGCGGUCUUGCAUGAAUGGUGUAACGAUACAACAGCUGUCUCUAUGAUUGACUCAGUGAAAUUGGAAUAGCAGUGCAGAUACUGUUUACCUCUAGAUAGACGAGAGUGCGACUAGUUAAGUGCUUAAAAACAAUGUGGUGAAAACCCACCAGAUAACCCGUUAUCUGAGCUUAUGUGGCAUGCAUUAAGAGUAAUUUUUUUGUGUGAAGCCUACAAAAUCCUGCCUUUGCCCUUUUUUUGAUAAAGGGAGGUGAGCUAUAUUACUAUGGAUAACUAAAGUGAAUCUGCGUCAGAAGCGUAGAUCUAGAGCUCUAUUUCUUUACAGUAGAAAAAUUUUAAAAAUAGAGUUUUGUUAAUUGUAUAAACAAGUUCUCGUUUGUUUAUUAAUGGGUCUAAUAUUAACCUACGUAUAGCAGGAUCCUAAAGUAAUAAUUAAGGUGUUUUUAAGUAAACUAGGUAAGCCCCAUAGUGCCCUUAUACAGUGUGUAAGGAAGUUUAACUGUGAAGUUAAAUAUACAUUAGGGGGUAAAGGAUGCUCUAAAAAGCGAAAGUUCUAUUGUAAUGAUAGAAAUAGGUUUAUUGACUAAUUCGAAAGAAUGCUGACUUAGAGCGGGUGUUUAUUAAACUAUAACGUAAAAUUGCAUUGAUUGGGUACCGGCUUUCUUAAGUGAUACGCAUUGUUUAAUGUAGCUAAGAAAGAGGCAUGGCUCCGUAGCUUUUUAAAGAUUAAGAAAAAAAACGGGAUAUAGAAAAGACACAUGACAAACCCAAAUAACAUUCAAAAUAUCGUAUCCUCCGGAUUAGAAAAGUUGGAUCCUAUGUGA
rnacentral:rRNA from 1 species